rnacentral:rRNA from 1 species
UACGUAGGGUGCAAGCGUUGUCCGGAAUUAUUGGGCGUAAAGAGCUCGUAGGCGGCUUGUCGCGUCGGCUGUGAAAACCUGGGGCUCAACCCCGGGCCUGCAGCCGAUACGGGCAAGCUAGAAUUCGGUAGGGGAGACUGGAAUCCCUGGUGUAGCGGUGAAAUGCGCAGAUAUCAGGAGGAACACUGGUGGCGAAGGCGGGUCUCUGGGCCGAUAUUGACGCUGAGGAGCGAAAGCGUGGGGAGCGAACAGG